rnacentral:rRNA from 1 species
GGCGGCGUGCUUAACACAUGCAAGUCGAGCGGUAAGGCCUUUCGGGGUACACGAGCGGCGAACGGGUGAGUAACACGUGGGUGAUCUGCCCUGCACUCUGGGAUAAGCCUGGGAAACUGGGUCUAAUACCGGAUAUGACCUGCUCUCGCAUGGGGGUGGGUGGAAAGAUUUAUCGGUGCAGGAUGGGCCCGCGGCCUAUCAGCUUGUUGGUGGGGUAAUGGCCUACCAAGGCGACGACGGGUAGCCGACCUGAGAGGGUGACCGGCCACACUGGGACUGAGACACGGCCCAGACUCCUACGGGAGGCAGCAGUGGGGAAUAUUGCACAAUGGGCGAAAGCCUGAUGCAGCGACGCCGCGUGAGGGAUGAAGGCCUUCGGGUUGUAAACCUCUUUCAGCAGGGACGAAGCGCAAGUGACGGUACCUGCAGAAGAAGCACCGGCUAACUACGUGCCAGCAGCCGCGGUAAUACGUAGGGUGCGAGCGUUGUCCGGAAUUACUGGGCGUAAAGAGUUCGUAGGCGGUUUGUCGCGUCGUUUGUGAAAACCCGGGGCUCAACUUCGGGCUUGCAGGCGAUACGGGCAGACUUGAGUGUUUCAGGGGAGACUGGAAUUCCUGGUGUAGCGGUGAAAUGCGCAGAUAUCAGGAGGAACACCGGUGGCGAAGGCGGGUCUCUGGGAAACAACUGACGCUGAGGAACGAAAGCGUGGGUAGCAAACAGGAUUAGAUACCCUGGUAGUCCACGCCGUAAACGGUGGGCGCUAGGUGUGGGUUCCUUCCACGGAAUCUGUGCCGUAGCUAACGCAUUAAGCGCCCCG